rnacentral:rRNA from 11 species
ACUUUGAGUCUAAAUACUCUGAAAGUUCCAGGUCCUGUCUGAUCUUGGAAACUAAGCCGGGCCAGGUCUGGUUAGUACUUGUAAGCGAGACUGGUAUGAAAUACCCAGGUGUUUUAGGCC